GUGUUCGCUUCAGCAGCACAUAUACUAAAAUUGGGAUGAUACAGAGAAGAUUAGCAUGGCCCCUGCACAAGAAUGACACGCAAAUUCAUGAAGCGUUCCAUAUUUUU
rnacentral:snRNA from 1 species